AUUGUACUUAUCAUCACAUUUGCCCUUUCUAAAAAUAAUAGCUUCGGACGGGGACAGAAAGCGUUGUGAGCUUCGAUGGCAGCGGCAAUGGAAGUUUGUCGUUGCCGGUCUGUGUUAAGAAACCUGGAUUUCAGAGGUUGGGAUCCAAACCCAAACCCCCUCUAUUUGGGCAUCAGAACCCCAAAAUUCAUUGAUUUCAAACAACGGCAUGCGUCGAGCCGCUGAGCAUAUUUGCUGCUCUGCUUUUAGCGAUCCGUUUGAGGAUUUCAAUUUGGGCAACUCUUGAAUGCACAUUGGACAGAGAUGAAGCACUCGUUUUCUUUGGCGCAUUUCAUGCGCUUCUUAUCUUCCUCAAUACAAUUCUGGGUGCCAUAAUUGGUAUACACUUUCAAGCCUUGAACGUCUCGCCACUUGAAAAACAUCUGGGUAUCAUCUUGCUUUUCAUAAUGGCUACAAUGGUCUAUAUCAUUGCAUAUUUGGAGAUAAAAUUACAAUGGCAAGAUGCUGCCUACCUUUUCAUAUUCAGGCUCAUUUGUCUGGUUUCUGGAAUUCUUUCUGUUGAGCUAUUUGUCACAUUAAUCAUUUUUCCUGUUUGGUUAUUCAUGGUUAACUUAUGUCCAAUCCUGAUCAUUGGGGUACUGUGUCAUUGGUACCAAGGAAUUUAUGAGGGUCUCUAUGACACAGCUGAUAUGGUACUCAAGGCAGUACAUAUCUUGUAUAACAAGAUUUAUGGAUUACUUUAUUGGAUGGACACAUUGGAUUAAGUGUUGCAGCUGCAGAUAAUGACUAGAAGAAGAUGGUUGCUGAGAACAAAAUGCCUCAAUUAGGAUUGCUGUUAUUUGAAUUGUAUUAGGAUUGUUGUUAUCAAUAAGUAACCACGUGAUGAUACAACUUCCCUGUUAUCUUGGGAUAGGAAUAGUCGAUUGGUAGGUUGUUCUUGUAAUUUGGAAUUUCACAGAUUAUGUAUUUAAGGAUAAAGUGAAUAAUAAGGGGCAUCAGAUUAAAAUUCCAGAAA